rnacentral:rRNA from 1 species
UGGGGAAUAUUGGACAAUGGAGGAAACUCUGAUCCAGCAAUUCUGUGUGUGUGAAGAAGGUUUUAGGACUGUAAAACACUUUUAGUAGGGAAGAAAAAAAUGACGGUACCUACAGAAGAAGCAACGGCUAAAUACGUGCCAGCAGCCGCGGUAAUACGUAUGUUGCGAGCGUUAUCCGGAAUUAUUGGGCUUAAAGGGCAUCUAGGCGGUAAGACAAGUUGAAGGUGAAAACCUGUGGCUCAACCAUAGGCUUGCCUACAAAACUGUUGAACUAGAGUACUGGAGAGGUGGGUGGAACUACACGAGUAGAGGUGAAAUUCGUAGAUAUGUGUAGGAAUGCCGAUGAUGAAGAUAACUCACUGGACAGAAACUGACGCUGAAGUGCGAAAGCUAGGGGAGCAAACAGG